rnacentral:rRNA from 1 species
GUUGGGAGCUCUCCCAUAUGGUCGACCUGCAGGCGGCCGCGAAUUCACUAGUGAUUCGUAUUACCGCGGCUGCUGGCACGGAGUUAGCCGGAGCUUAUUCUCCCGGUACUGUCAUUAUCAUCCCGGGUAAAAGAGCUUUACAACCCUAAGGCCUUCAUCACUCACGCGGCAUUGCUGGAUCAGGCUUUCGCCCAUUGUCCAAUAUUCCCCACUGCUGCCUCCCGUAGGAGUCUGGGCCGUGUCUCAGUCCCAGUGUGGCUGAUCAUCCUCUCAGACCAGCUAAGGAUCGUCGCCUUGGUGCGCCUUUACCACACCAACUAGCUAAUCCUACGCGGGCUCAUCCCUCGGCGAUAAAUCUUUGGACUUACGUCGUCAUCCGGUAUUAGCAGUCAUUUCUAACUGUUAUUCCGAACCAAGGGGCAGAUUCCCACGCGUUACGCACCCGUGCGCCACUAAGGCCGAAGCCUUCGUUCGACUUGCAUGUGUUAGGCAUGCCGCCAGCGUUCGUUCUGAGCCAUGAUCAAACUCUAAUCGAAUUCCCGCGGCCGCCAUGGCGGCCGGGAGCAUG